GUGUGUUUGCUGUGGUAGCACACAUAUUAAAAAAUGGGAAUAAUACUGAGAAGAUUAGCAUGGCCCCUGCCCAAGGAUGAUGCACAAAUUUGUGAAGUUUUCCAUAUUUUU
ensembl:snRNA U6 U6 spliceosomal RNA